rnacentral:rRNA from 1 species
AUUGAACGCUGGCGGCAGGCCUAACACAUGCAAGUCGAGCGGAUGAAGGGAGCUUGCUCCUGGAUUCAGCGGCGGACGGGUGAGUAAUGCCUAGGAAUCUGCCUGGUAGUGGGGGAUAACGUCCGGAAACGGGCGCUAAUACCGCAUACGUCCUGAGGGAGAAAGUGGGGGAUCUUCGGACCUCACGCUAUCAGAUGAGCCUAGGUCGGAUUAGCUAGUUGGUGGGGUAAAGGCCUACCAAGGCGACGAUCCGUAACUGGUCUGAGAGGAUGAUCAGUCACACUGGAACUGAGACACGGUCCAGACUCCUACGGGAGGCAGCAGUGGGGAAUAUUGGACAAUGGGCGAAAGCCUUAUCCAGCCAUGCCGCGUGUGUGAAGAAGGUCUUCGGAUUGUAAAGCACUUUAAGUUGGGAGGAAGGGCAGUAAGUUAAUACCUUGCUGUUUUGACGUUACCAACAGAAUAAGCACCGGCUAACUCCGUG